AGAUCUCUUUCCCCAAAGGGUGCCAUUCUGAAUGUCUUUAUUAUCCUAAACUCUUUCUCCUGGACACUCACUGGCUGCAAACCAUCAUGCUGUGACCUCUGUGUGGACAACUGCCAGCAUGACGCACUGGCUGAAGCCGCACCUGUGAUCCAGAGCACGUUCGUCCACUGUUGCGGGCACGCCCUGCCCAGUCACCGAAGCGCAGCAGCCUGCAGGACCGCUAGCCCAGCUUCUGCCUGUCAUACCCCACCUGAGGAAGUUCCUGCCCGGGUUGGAGGGUACCCCAAACCUGACAGUAGAAAUGAGAAGACCGUUAUUGAAGUGACAGUCAUUAAGAAGCAGGAUCCCCAGAGACACACAAAGGAAGAUACAAUUGUGGCACAGAGAAGCUAAGUGAAAAUGAGCAAGGAGAAAGAAUACCUUUUAGACAACUGAGAUGUUUUCAAAGCUUGCUGACUUGGUAACCUACAAAGAUAAAUACAUCUGCCCAAAGACAUAGUAUGUCAUGUGGGCAGUUUGACACUGAGAUAUCAACUUCUAUAUUGAAAAUACGCUUGUGAAAAUAGUGUGGAGAAUAAGUGUUAGCUAAACUUUUAAUAAGAUGUUUCCGUGCAUAUCCAUGUCCUUAUGUGGCCAUAUGUUUUUGUUUCUCUUGCGUAUAGCCCUCGGGUGGAGUUGAAGGUUGUAAGGUAAGGUUACUGAUAACGUCGUGAAGACCUGUGAACCUGCUUUACGAAGUGGCUGCACGAGUUUUCAUUCCUGCGAGCAUAGUAUGAAGACUCCAGUUUUUCCACAUCUUCCCCAUGUUUACUGUUGCCUGAAUUUUCACUUUAGUCAUCUAAUCUAUAUGAAGACUUAUCUCAUCGUGGCUUCAUUUGCAUAUCUGAAAGUGGCUAAAUUCUCCAUCAACCGAUGAAUAAACAAAAUGUGAUAUAUCCCCACGGUGGAAUACUGUUUGGUAAUGAAGGGAAUGAAGUAUUCUUUCAGGAUGCAGCAUGAGUGAAAUUCACAGAGAUUAUCUUAAGAAAAAAAAAAACAUAUGGUUAAAGAUGUACAGGAAGGGGCUGGGGAUUUAGCUCAGCGGCACAGCUCCC
rnacentral:lncRNA from 1 species